GACGAACGCUGGCGGCGUGCCUAAUACAUGCAAGUCGAGCGAGCGGAACUAACAGAUUUACUUCGGUAAUGACGUUAGGAAAGCGAGCGGCGGAUGGGUGAGUAACACGUGGGGAACCUGCCCCAUAGUCUGAGAUACCACUUGGAAACAGGUGCUAAUACCGGAUAAGAAAGCAGAUCGCAUGAUCAGCUUUUAAAAGGCGGCGUAAGCUGUCGCUAUGGGAUGGCCCCGCGGUGCAUUAGCUAGUUGGUAAGGUAACGGCUUACCAAGGCGAUGAUGCAUAGCCGAGUUGAGAGACUGAUCGGCCACAAUGGAACUGAGACACGGUCCAUACUCCUACGGGAGGCAGCAGUAGGGAAUCUUCCACAAUGGGCGCAAGCCUGAUGGAGCAACACCGCGUGAGUGAAGAAGGGUUUCGGCUCGUAAAGCUCUGUUGUUGGAGAAGAACGUGCGUGAGAGUAACUGUUCACGCAGUGACGGUAUCCAACCAGAAAGUCACGGCUAACUACGUGCCAGCAGCCGCGGUAAUACGUAGGUGGCAAGCGUUAUCCGGAUUUAUUGGGCGUAAAGCGAGCGCAGGCGGUUGCUUAGGUCUGAUGUGAAAGCCUUCGGCUUAACCGAAGAAGUGCAUCGGAAACCGGGCGACUUGAGUGCAGAAGAGGACAGUGGAACUCCAUGUGUAGCGGUGGAAUGCGUAGAUAUAUGGAAGAACACCAGUGGCGAAGGCGGCUGUCUGGUCUGCAACUGACGCUGAGGCUCGAAAGCAUGGGUAGCGAACAGGAUUAGAUACCCUGGUAGUCCAUGCCGUAAACGAUGAGUGCUAGGUGUUGGAGGGUUUCCGCCCUUCAGUGCCGGAGCUAACGCAUUAAGCGCUCCGCCUGGGGAGUACGACCGCCAAGGUUGAAACUCAAAGGAAUUGACGGGGGCCCGCACAAGCGGUGGAGCAUGUGGUUUAAUUCGAAGCUACGCGAAGAACCUUACCAGGUCUUGACAUCUUGCGCUAACCUUAGAGAUAAGGCGUUCCCUUCGGGGACGCAAUGACAGGGUGGUGCAUGGUCGUCGUCAGCUCGUGUCGUGAGAUGUUGGGUUAAGUCCCGCAACGAGCGCAACCCUUGUUACUAGUUGCCAGCAUUAAGUUGGGCACUCUAGUGAGGCUGCCGGUGACAAACCGGAGGAAGGUGGGGACGACGUCAGAUCAUCAUGCCCCUUAUGACCUGGGCUACACACGUGCUACAAUGGACGGUACAACGAGUCGCAAACUCGCGAGAGUAAGCUAAUCUCUUAAAGCCGUUCUCAGUUCGGACUGUAGGCUGCAACUCGCCUACACGAAGUCGGAGUCGCUAGUAAUCGCGGAUCAGCAUGCCGCGGUGAAUACGUUCCCGGGCCUUGUACACACCGCCCGUCACACCAUGGGAGCUUGUAACGCCCAAAGUCGGUGGCCUAACCUUUAUGGAGGGAGCCGCCUAAGGCGGGACAGAUGGCUGGGGUG
rnacentral:rRNA from 2 species